rnacentral:rRNA from 1 species
GACGAACGCUGGCGGCGUGCUUAACACAUGCAAGUCGAACGAAGAGCGAUGGAAGCUUGCUUCUAUCACUCUUAGUGGCGAACGGGUGAGUAACGCGUAAUCAACCUGCCCUUCAGAGGGGGACAACAGUUGGAAACGACUGCUAAUACCGCAUACGAUCCAAUCUCGGCAUCGGGACUGGAUGAAAGGUGGCCUCUAUUAUAAGCUAUCACUGAAGGAGGGGAUUGCGUCUGAUUAGCUAGUUGGAGGGGUAACGGCCCACCAAGGCGAUGAUCAGUAGCCGGUCUGAGAGGAUGAACGGCCACAUUGGGACUGAGACACGGCCCAGACUCCUACGGGAGGCAGCAGUGGGGAAUCUUCCGCAAUGGACGAAAGUCUGACGGAGCAACGCCGCGUGAGUGAUGACGGCCUUCGGGUUGUAAAGCUCUGUUAAUCGGGACGAAUGGUUCUUGUGCGAAUAGUGCGAGGAUUUGACGGUACCGGAAUAGAAAGCCACGGCUAACUACGUG